AUUGAACGCUGGCGGCAUGCCUUACACAUGCAAGUCGAACGGCAGCGCGGACUUCGGUCUGGCGGCGAGUGGCGAACGGGUGAGUAAUACAUCGGAACGUACCCUGUUGUGGGGGAUAACUAGUCGAAAGAUUAGCUAAUACCGCAUACGACCUGAGGGUGAAAGUGGGGGACCGCAAGGCCUCACGCAGCAGGAGCGGCCGAUGUCUGAUUAGCUAGUUGGUGGGGUAAAGGCCCACCAAGGCGACGAUCAGUAGCUAGUCUGAGAGGACGAUCAGCCACACUGGGACUGAGACACGGCCCAGACUCCUACGGGAGGCAGCAGUGGGGAAUUUUGGACAAUGGGGGCAACCCUGAUCCAGCAAUGCCGCGUGUGUGAAGAAGGCCUUCGGGUUGUAAAGCACUUUUGUCCGGAAAGAAAUCGCGCUGGUUAAUACCUGGCGUGGAUUACGGUACCGGAAGAAUAAGCACCGGCUAACUACGUG
rnacentral:rRNA from 1 species